rnacentral:snRNA from 1 species
AUCCCCCCCGGAUUUUCAAGGGCCAGCGAGAGCUCACCAGACACCGCCGGAACCGCGACGCUUUCCAAUGGAUUUUUGGAACAGGGAGGUGGAAUAGGAGCUCGCUCCGUCCACUCCGUGCACCAACCUGGUAUUGCAGUACCUCCAGGAACCGUGCACCUCCC